rnacentral:rRNA from 1 species
UUAAACGGCCGCGGUAUCCUAACCGUGCAAAGGUAGCAUAAUCACUUGUCCCCUAAAUAGGGACUAGAAUGAACGGCUACAUGAGGACUAACCUGUCUCUUGCAUUCAACCAAUGAAACUGAUCUUUCAGUCCAAAAGCUGAAAUAACACCAUAAGACGAGAAGACCCUGUGGAGCUUACNAAACUAAGCUCACUAUCAUGCACCCUUAGUUUUCAGUUGGGGCGACUUCGGAGCACAAAAAAACCCCCGAACAACUUUACAGAUAGACAUAUCUCCACCCCAUUGACCCAGUAGUUCAACAAACUACCUGACCAAUGAACCAAGUUACCCCAGGGAUAACAGCGCCAUCCUCUUCAAGAGUCCCCAUCGACAAGAGGGUUUACGACCUCGAUGUUGGAUCAGGACAUCCAAAUAGUGCACCCGCUAUUAACGGUUCGUUUGUUCAACGAUUAA